CCUGACGCAGCGACGCCGCGUGAGUGAUGAAGGCUUUCGGGUCGUAAAGCUCUGUCAAGUGGGAAGAACCCGCUCCGUACAAAUAGUUCGGGGCGCUGACGGUACCACUGAAGGAAGCACCGGCUAACUCCGUGCCAGCAGCCGCGGUAAUACNNGGGGUGCAAGCGUUAUUCGGAUUCAUUGGGCGUAAAGAGCGNGUAGGCGGUCUUUUAUGUCAGGUGUGAAAGCCCGGGGCUUAACCUCGGAAGUGCACUUGAAACUGAAAGACUUGAGUAUGGGAGAGGGAAGUGGAAUUCCUGGUGUAGCGGUGAAAUGCGUAGAUAUCAGGAGGAACACCGGUGGCGAAGGCGACUUCCUGGACCAAUACUGACGCUGAGGCGCGAAGGCGUGGGGAGCAAACAGGAUUAGAUACCCUGGUAGUCCACGCAGUAAACGUUGAACACUAGGUGUAGCGGGUAUCGACCCUUGCUGUGCCGCAGUUAACGCAUUAAGUGUUCCGCCUGGGGAGUAC
rnacentral:rRNA from 1 species